rnacentral:misc_RNA from 1 species
UCAAACUUGGUCAUUUAGAGGAAGUAAAAGUCGUAACAAGGUCUCCGUUGGUGAACCAGCGGAGGGAUCAUUACAGAGAAUUAAAACCCUCUAAACCCAUGUGAAUAUACCUCUUGUUGCCUCGGUCGUGAUGGCUACUUGGUAACCUACCCUGUAGGGCCUUACCCUGUAGUCGGCGACCGACGGACCUCAAAACUCGUUUAAUAGUAGCACUCUGAGUUGACACACAAUAAGUUAAAACUUUCAACAACGGAUCUCUUGGUUCUGGCAUCGAUGAAGAACGCAGC